rnacentral:rRNA from 1 species
UACGGAGGGUGCAAGCGUUAUCCGGAUUUAUUGGGUUUAAAGGGUGCGUAGGCGGCCUUUUAAGUCAGGGGUGAAAGACGGUAGCUUAACUAUCGCAGUGCCUUUGAUACUGAUAGGCUUGAAUGUACUUGAGGUAGGCGGAAUGUGACAAGUAGCGGUGAAAUGCAUAGAUAUGUCACAGAACACCAAUUGCGAAGGCAGCUUACUAAAGUAUGAUUGACGCUGAGGCACGAAAGCGUGGGGAUCAAACAGG